GGGGAAUAUUGGACAAUGGGCGAAAGCCUGAUCCAGCCAUGCCGCGUGAGUGAUGAAGGCCCUAGGGUUGUAAAGCUCUUUCACCGGUGAAGAUAAUGACGGUAGCCGGAGAAGAAGCCCCGGCUAACUUCGUGCCAGCAGCCGCGGUAAUACGAAGGGGGCUAGCGUUGUUCGGAAUUACUGGGCGUAAAGCGCACGUAGGCGGAUUGUUAAGUGAGGGGUGAAAUCCCAGGGCUCAACCCUGGAACUGCCUCUCAUACUGGCAAUCUCGAGUUCGAGAGAGGUGAGUGGAAUUCCGAGUGUAGAGGUGAAAUUCGUAGAUAUUCGGAGGAACACCAGUGGCGAAGGCGGCUCACUGGCUCGAAACUGACGCUGAGGUGCGAAAGCGUGGGGAGCAAAC
rnacentral:rRNA from 1 species